rnacentral:rRNA from 1 species
UACGUAGGGUGCGAGCGUUGUCCGGAAUUACUGGGCGUAAAGGGCGCGUAGGCGGUCGUGACAAGUCACUUGUGAAAUCUCCGGGCUUAACUCGGAACGGUCAAGUGAUACUGUCGGACUAGAGUACAGAAGGGGCAACUGGAAUUCUCGGUGUAGCGGUGAAAUGCGUAGAUAUCGAGAGGAACACCUGCGGCGAAGGCGGGUUGCUGGGCUGACACUGACGCUGAUGCGCGAAAGCUAGGGGAGCGAACGGG